rnacentral:misc_RNA from 1 species
CUAAAUUUGGGAGAAUGAUAGAAUACAUGGACGGAGUACCCACCCAUGGAGCUUUUAAGAGGCAAACUUUGCCUCAAUCUCACUGUGGAGGUUAUAGUUUGGUUUUCGAGGCUGUAACCAGUGUACAAAGCUCCAGUGCCCACAGUAAUACCCAGGCUGGUUGGGCCUAUGCCAAAUUUCAUCAUGGUUUAUUGCAUACGAUGAAGGUGGAUGUCAAUUCUUGG